GGCAACAUAUGGCUCAAUUGGAAGCUGUUCAGCUUUGCACUGAACAGAUUGUGGGUUCAAGUCCCACUGAUGACA